rnacentral:rRNA from 1 species
GCUGGCGGCAGGCUUAACACAUGCAAGUCGAACGCGUGUAGCAAUACACGAGUGGCGCACGGGUGAGUAACGCGUGGAUAUCUGCCUUUUGGUUCGGAAUAACCCCGGGAAACUGGGGCUAAUACCGGAUGGUUCCUUCGGGAUAAAGAUUUAUCGCCAAAAGAUGAGUCCGCGUCCGAUUAGCUAGUUGGUGAGGUAAUGGCUCACCAAGGCGACGAUCGGUAGCUGGUCUGAGAGGACGAUCAGCCACACUGGGACUGAGACACGGCCCAGACUCCUACGGGAGGCAGCAGUGGGGAAUAUUGGACAAUGGGGGCAACCCUGAUCCAGCCAUGCCGCGUGAGUGAUGAAGGCCUUCGGGUUGUAAAGCUCUUUUGGCGGGGACGAUGAUGACGGUACCCGCAGAAUAAGCCCCGGCUAACUUCGUGCCAGCAGCCGCGGUAAGACGAAGGGGGCUAGCGUUGUUCGGAAUUACUGGGCGUAAAGCGCGUGUAGGCGGUUAUCCAAGUCGGGUGUGAAAGCCUUGAGCUUAACUCAAGAAAUGCACUCGGUACUGGGUGACUAGAGGACCGGAGAGGAUAGUGGAAUUCCCAGUGUAGUGGUGAAAUACGUA